rnacentral:sRNA from 1 species
CAAAAAAUUGGUUUUUAGUUUUUGAGAAAAAUAAUGUUGAUGGAGUAAAAACUAGAUUCCCUAAAUUUUAGGAAAACUGAAAAACUAAAAUCAUGAAUGGAAAACUACAACAAAAUAGUUUUUCUAAAUUGUAGGGAAACCAAAAUUUUAAAAUCUUGAUUGGUAUGAAAAUAAGUUUUUGAAAAAACAAAAUCCAAAAACUCUUACAAAAUCUACAAAACAUUCAAGGCCUAAGUGUAACAAAUACUUACU